ACCAAUUGAUAUCUAAGAUAAGUUUGAUAUUUCAAUCGGUAGUUUUUAAUUGAGAGUGACUUAUCUGACUAUUUUGAUAGUAUCUAAAGCAAGCUUCGCAGAUCCUCCCAUCGAUCUCACUUACCUGACCAAUUUGGUAGAUUAUGUUUUGAUUAGAUCGCUAAGUGAUUCGAGUUGACCCAUGCUAUUAAGGUUGAUCAGUGUGAUUGAUCUAGGUGCCAGU
rnacentral:lncRNA from 1 species